AAGUCGUAACAAGGUUUCCGUAGGUGAACCUGCGGAAGGAUCAUUAAAAAAAAUGAUAGACGGGGGACGGGUCUCUUUUGACUCUGUUCCCCCGUGUAUUCAACCAACCCGCUCUUGUAUUUGCAUCAAAAUUUCAUUUCGAUGAAAAAAAAAAACAAAAUCAUUUCAAUAAAUGUAAAUAAACUUUCAACAACGGAUCUCUUGGCUCUC
rnacentral:misc_RNA from 1 species